CCCUGAACAGCUCAGUUGGUAAAGAAUCUGCCUGCAAUGCAGGAGACCCUGGUUCGAUUCCUGGGUUGGGAA
rnacentral:tRNA from 1 species